GACGAACGCUGGCGGCGUGCUUAACACAUGCAAGUCGAACGGACAGGCCCUGCUUUUGUGGGGUGCUCGAGUGGCGAACGGGUGAGUAACACGUGAGUAACCUGCCCUUGACUUUGGGAUAACUUCAGGAAACUGGGGCUCAUACCGGAUAUGAGCUCCUGCUGCAUGGUGUGGGUUGGAAAGUUUCGGCGGUUGGGGAUGGACUCGCGGCUUAUCAGCUUGUUGGUGGGGUAGUGGCUUACCAAGGCUUUGACGGGUAGCCGGCCUGAGAGGGUGAACGGCCACAUUGGGACUGAGAGACGGCGCAGACGCCUACGGGAGGCAGCAGUGGGGAAUAUUGCACAAUGGGCGGAAGCCUGAUGCAGCAACGCCGCGUGCGGGAUGACGGCCUUCGGGUUGUAAACCGCUUUCGCCUGUGACGAAGCGUGAGUGACGGUAAUGGGUAAAGAAGCACCGGCUAACUACGUG
rnacentral:rRNA from 1 species